AGUCGAGCGGAUGAGAAGAGCUUGCUCUUCGAUUCAGCGGCGGACGGGUGAGUAAUACCUAGGAAUCUGCCUGGUAGUGGGGGACAACGUUUCGAAAGGAACGCUAAUACCGCAUACGUCCUACGGGAGAAAGCAGGGGACCUUCGGGCCUUGCGCUAUCAGAUGAGCCUAGGUCGGAUUAGCUAGUUGGUGAGGUAAUGGCUCACCAAGGCUACGAUCCGUAACUGGUCUGAGAGGAUGAUCAGUCACACUGGAACUGAGACACGGUCCAGACUCCUACGGGAGGCAGCAGUGGGGAAUAUUGGACAAUGGGCGAAAGCCUGAUCCAGCCAUGCCGCGUGUGUGAAGAAGGUCUUCGGAUUGUAAAGCACUUUAAGUUGGGAGGAAGGGCAGUAAGCGAAUACCUUGCUGUUUUGACGUUACCGACAGAAUAAGCACCGGCUAACUCUGUGCCAGCAGCCGCGGUAAUACAGAGGGUGCAAGCGUUAAUCGGAAUUACUGGGCGUAAAGCGCGCGUAGGUGGUUCGUUAAGUUGGAUGUGAAAUCCCCGGGCUCAACCUGGGAACUGCAUCCAAAACUGGCGAGCUAGAGUAGGGCAGAGGGUGGUGGAAUUUCCUGUGUAGCGGUGAAAUGCGUAGAUAUAGGAAGGAACACCAGUGGCGAAGGCGACCACCUGGGCUCAUACUGACA
rnacentral:rRNA from 1 species